UACGGGGGGGAGCAAGCGUUGUUCGGAUUUACUGGGCGUAAAGGGCGCGUAGGCGGCCACCGCAAGUCGACUGUGAAAUCUCCGGGCUUAACCCGGAAAGGUCAGCCGAUACUGCGGGGCUAGAGUGCAGAAGGGGCAACUGGAAUUCUCGGUGUAGCGGUGAAAUGCGUAGAUAUCGAGAGGAACACCUGCGGCGAAGGCGGGUUGCUGGGCUGACACUGACGCUGAGGCGCGAAAGCUAGGGGAGCAAACGGG
rnacentral:rRNA from 1 species